CGGGGGCCCGCACAAGCGGUGGAGCAUGUGGUUUAAUUCGAAGCAACGCGAAGAACCUUACCAGGUCUUGACAUCCUUUGACCACUCUGGAGACAGAGCUUUCCCUUCGGGGACAAAGUGACAGGUGGUGCAUGGUUGUCGUCAGCUCGUGUCGUGAGAUGUUGGGUUAAGUCCCGCAACGAGCGCAACCCUUGAUUUUAGUUGCCAGCAUUUAGUUGGGCACUCUAAAGUGACUGCCGGUGCAAGCCGGAGGAAGGUGGGGAUGACGUCAAAUCAUCAUGCCCCUUAUGACCUGGGCUACACACGUGCUACAAUGGAUAGUACAAAGGGUCGCGAAGCCGCGAGGUGGAGCUAAUCCCAUAAAACUAUUCUCAGUUCGGAUUGUAGGCUGCAACUCGCCUACAUGAAGCCGGAAUCGCUAGUAAUCGUGGAUCAGCAUGCCACGGUGAAUACGUUCCCGGGCCUUGU
rnacentral:ncRNA from 1 species